AGCUUUGCGCAGUGGCAGUAUCGUAGCCAAUGAGGUUUAUCCGAGGCGCGAUUAUUGCUAAUUGAAAAAAAAAAAAAAAAGGAAUAUGGGUGCUAAAUUCUCUGUUGCACUGCAGGGUC
rnacentral:snRNA from 1 species